GAUGAACGCUGGCGGCGUGCUUAACACAUGCAAGUCGAACGGAAAGGCCCAAGCUUGCUUGGGUCCUCGAGUGGCGAACGGGUGAGUAACACGUGGGUGAUCUGCCCUGCACUUCGGGAUAAGCCUUGGAAACUGGGUCUAAUACCGGAUAGGACCACAUUUUGGAUGUUGUGGUGGAAAGUUUUUCGGUGUGGGAUGAGCUCGCGGCCUAUCAGCUUGUUGGUGGGGUAAUGGCCUACCAAGGCGUCGACGGGUAGCCCGACUGAGAGGGUGUGCGGCCGUAUUGAGACUGAGAGACGGCACAGGCUGCGACGGGUGGGAGCAGUGGGGAAGAUUGAACGAUGGGCGCAAGCCUGAUGAAGCGAGGCCGCGUGGGGGAUGACGGCCUUCGGGUUGUAAACUCAAUUCGCUAGGGACGAAGCGCUAUGUGACGGUACCUGGAGAAGAAGCACCGGCUAACUACGUG
rnacentral:rRNA from 1 species